CCAGGCAGUCAGUUUAUGUGUUCUUAUUAUUUUAUCACGUGGAGUUUCCCUGGUUUAAUGCGUUAUAUUGUAAGUUUAAUUAUCAAGUAUUUUGAAAGGCGUUUUCCUCGUAUUGUUAAUUGUGUUUUAUUGUGUUUAACUGUGUGUAUUUGAUAUUCCCGAUAAGGGAUUCAUAUUAUAGGAAGUCCAUUAGUCCAAUUUCAGUCAUGAAAUACAUUACAUACUUAUCCUAAGAGCUUCAUGUUGUUAUAGAAAUCAUGUUUUUAAACUCAUAUACUCGUAUGUUAUCUAUUUCCAUAAAUUCUUUGUAAAAUUUUAUUGAAAUUAUAAUCCGUACAUUCUUAAUAAAAAACUGUAUUGAAAAAAUUCAAUACAUACACAACUGAUGAACCGACAGUUGAAUCGGAUCGAUCAGAAAUUCAGAAUUAGUAAAUUACUCAGUUUCUCUGUCAAAGACAAUUUUCAAUGCUCGGUUGCUCAUUUAUUUUGUAACUAUAUUUGACUUCAUUGUCUCGUGACAUAGUUGGAAAUAUCAACUAGGUAGGUAAUACAUAUUAUGUUGUGCGAAUAUACGAUCGUGUUUUUCUUUUGUCAUUUUUUUAUUCUGUUUGUGUAUGUAUUUGUAAAUUGAUUGAAAAUUGAAAAUUUGAAAUGUAUGAUGUCUCAUUGUGUGAGGGAGAGGGACUGAUGUUCAAAAACGUUCAGAAAGAUAGCGCUGAACUCUCAAUGCAAAGUGUAUAAACAGAACAAACUAAGUAUAAGUUGCAAUAAAAUUUUAAUUGGUUUUGCCACUUGAUUGAUGGAAAAAUACAUACAACAGAUUCCUUUACUUUCUUUCAAGCAAAUUGAGUAAGUUGACAAUUAAUUGCAAUUAUUGCUGAAAUGGUCGAUUUAUUUCAGAUCAUGAAUUUUUUUCUCACUUCAUUUUCAUCCUUUCUAAUGUAGGUAUGUAUGUAGUUGUUAUUUGGAAUUUUUUCUUAGAGACACUGUAUGGUGAACCAUGAAUUCUUUUUGGCAGCGGCGAGUCAGUCCCUCAGAAAUUCAUCACCGGCGGCGCAGACCUCUAUUCAUAUACUUAAUAUUAGGAUCAAAUACCAGAAUUCCACCCAAUGAUUUUGGAUUCUUAUAUAGAAGAAAAUGAAGUUGAUUCCAAUAAUAAUCAUGCUAAUGGUUACAUAGAACAAGCCAUGGAGGACGUGAUUCCAGAAUAAUUCCAUAUCGAAUUUCCAUCCCGCCAGAAAUCGUAAGUGCCUAAAUUUAAUAAGUACUUAUUUACAAAUUUUAAAUUCAACUUCAUUAAUGUUUGGAUAUUUUCCAGACACGCGAGGUGGAUCGGGCAGUAUUCUGCGCGAGAAAUUUGCUCAACAGAAUCAGCCAAGCCCAGGGCCAGCUGCUUGCAGAGGAGCCGCAACAGCAUCCCUCAGCAUCCGAUAAUAACUGAUAUCGUUUUUUAUGUCGGUAAAAAAUUCAACCGUGAAUUUAAUUGUAUGAUUGCUGAUCUUUGUUAAUUCUAAGUGAUAUAGUCGUAAAUACCUAUGUAAUAGUAUACUUACAUUGUUCUUUAUUUCGGUAAAAAAUUCAACUGUGAAUUAUAAUUGUAUGAUUGCU